rnacentral:lncRNA from 1 species
UUUUUUUCUUUUUCUUUUUUUUUUUUUUUGAGACGGAGUCUUGCUCUCUUGCCGCGGCUGGAGUGCAGUGGCCGGAUCUCAGCUCACUGCAAGCUCCGCUCAGCCUCCCGAGUAGCUGGGACUACAGGCACCCGCCACCUCGCCCGGCUAAUUUUUUGUAUUUUUUAGUAGAGACAGGGUUUCACCGUGUUAUCCAGGAUGGUCUCGAUCUCCUGACCUCUUGAUCUGCCCGUCUCGGCCUCCCAAAGUGCUGGGAUUACAGGCUUGUGCCACCGCGCCCGGCCGAUUAUCUCAUUUUCAAGUGUAUAGCUCUAUGGCAUUAGGUACAUUCGCAUUGCUGUGCAACAGUUACCACCCUCAAUUCCAGAACUUUUCCAUUCCUCUAAACUGAAACUCUAUACACCCUUAACAAUCACUCUCCCAUUCUGCUGGGGAAGAUGGCUCAUGCCUAUAAUCCCAAUACAUUGGGAGGCUCAGGUGGGCUGACUGCUUGACCCCAGGAGUUUGAGACCAGCCUGGACAACAUAGCAAGGCCUCAUCUCAACAAAAAAUAAAAAUUAAAUUAAAUUUUAAAAUAACUCCACAUUCCUUCCUUCCCCCAGCCACUGGUAAUCACUAUUCUACUUUCUGUCUCUAUGAAUUUGAAUACUGUAGGUUCAUCAUGUAAGUACAAACAUAUAAUAUUUGUCCUUUUAUGUCUGGCUUAUUUCACCUAACAUAGUAUCUUCAAAGUUUAUCUAUGUUGUAGCACGUAUCAGAAUUCCUUUUUAAGGCAGAAUAAUAUUCCAUUAUAUGCAUACACUAUAUUUUGCUUAUCCAUUCAUCUGUUGGAUAAAUGCCUUCAAUUCUUUUGGGCACACGCCCAGAAGUAGAAUUGCUAGAUCAUCUGGUAAUUCUAUGUUUAAUUUUUUGAGGACCACCAUACUAUUCUCCACAGUGGCUGCAGCAUAUUACAUUCCCAUCCGUAAUGCACAAGGGUUCCAUUUUUUCCACAUCCUCACCAACGCUUACUAUCUUCUGUCUUGGGUUUUUAUUGCUUGUUUAUUUUUUGUUUUUCAGUAAUACUCAUCC